ensembl:lncRNA
UGUAAAGUCAUCAUCGCAAUAGCCUUAGAUGAUAACAGCCUACAGGUCAUGUUGCAAUUGGUGGCUUUCUUGCAUCCAGCUCAUCCUAUCCAUGAAGGUUUCCUAGCUUCCAUUCCAGCGGGUAGGAGGGUCUCCUUAGCCUUUAUCUUUCCAUCUCAAUUAGCACUUUAUGUUGCCCUACAGUCUGGUUCCCGUCUUAUUUUUGAGCGUUAGAGCCGGCUCUGUAAUCGUCUGUGUCUAGAGGCUUCUUUUUCCUGCACUGCCAAGGGUGAGCAUAGGAAAACCUGGGCUCAGAUGGUUGUUCUCAGCAGAAGCGCUGCCGUGGGAGAGGCCUGGUGCAGCCAGCAGUUUCGCUUUGCCUGAGACAACUUCGUAUAUUCAGACAACUAGGUCUCAUCCAUGAGAGGUCAACAUUCACUUUGGAAAAAAAAACUUCUGAAACACUGAAAUAAGGACUUCCCUGGUGGUCCAGUGGUAAGGAAUCUGUCUUCCAACGCGGGGAACACCACUUCCAUCCCUGGUCGGGGAACUAAGACCCCACACGCCACGGGGCAAUCAAGCCUGCUCACCGCAACUGGAGAAGCCUACAUGACAGAGUGAAGAAGCAGCCCAGCCAAAUAAAUAAACAAAAUAAUUUAAAACACUGAAAUGAAGUUGGUUGCUGUACAGCAUGUGGGAUCUUAGUUCCCCAACCAGGGAUCGAAUUCAUGCUUCCUUCAGUGAAAUCGCCGAGUCUUAACCACUGGACCACCAGGGAGUCCUUGCAGUAACUCACGAGACAGCAUCGCUUUCCUAAACGCAAGAAGCAGAUUACAUGUUGUGCUGUGGCAAACAGGUGGGGCCACAGCAAACCAUCUGCAGAGGGCCAGGUAGCAGGCGUGUCGGGUUUUGUGGGCACAUGGUCUGUCUCAGCUGCAGCCCCUCAGCUCUGCCCCCGCCGUGCCAAGGCGGCGGCUGCGGGCACCAUGCACGUGAAUGGGUGUGUGCAUGUUCCCAUGAGACUUUACUGAUGGACGCUGGAAGGCCCGUCACUGUCGCAGGUCACAAAACAGGCUUCUUCUUUUGACUCCAGCAUUAAAAACAUAAAAGCCGCUCUCGGCUCGUAGACACCCAGGUGUGGGCCAAAGUGACGCGCCUGUGGGCCGCGGUUUGCCAACCUGGGUCUAGCACAGAGGCUCUCGGAAUCAGGAAGGACCUUGAGAGAGCUCUGAGAUGUUUAAUUGCUUCUCCUCUCGAGAGAGUAAAGAAUCAAAUCCCUCCCGAAGGCGACAGUCCACCGUGCCCUGCUAAGAUGAGACCCCAGAUACUCUGACUCCUAGUGCAGUGCACUUCCUACCAGAAGCCACUGCUUAAAAUAAAGACAAAUAGGAGACCAAUUAAAGAGAUAACUGUAACAACUGCUCAGCACAGCGCCCGGAGAUGAGAACGCCCAGUGCCGGCCGUGCGGCCGCCGCGGCCCCUGCAGACAGCGCCUGGCACGCGUUCAGAGAGCUUGAGAAACAUAACUGGUUGAGCAGAAAUCGUUCCAAGAAAUAGCACCGUGACUUUUGCUCCGCUGCUGCCUCACUCUGCUGCAAGUUAACUCCUCGUCUGCCUGAGCUGUGAAACCUGUAAAAUAAAGCAAAUCGACA